ensembl:lncRNA
CAGUCGUGGAUAGGUGCUACUGGUCAGCUGCACCUGGUGAGGUGUGUCCAGGUGACACUGACCCGACGUGUUACUAUAAAAGCAGCUCCUCAUCAGCCACUAACCACACCAUGAACUGCCCUCGCUAGUAGAAGCUCUCUGAACUGACAGAACUGAUUUGAAGUGAAGACAGGACCGGACAUGGGGGGAAAGAGCAGCAUCCAGCUCCCACUCUUAUUCCUUCUCAUUGCUGCUCUCUGCUUAGAAGCACAACCACGAUAUCAAAUUUACCCUAUGUUUGAUCUGUGGCUGAACUGGACAGAGGCCAGAUUGUACUGCCAGAGACAUUACACUGACAUGGUAAGGUGGAACACAGCAUCCAGAGCUGAUCUGGUUGACCUUAUGAGCUCAAAUGGUGUCACCAUUAUCUGGACUGGUGACCGUGGAGAUCCUCAGGGAGCAUCAGACAAUUUCACCAACGGGGAAUCAGAAGAGAUUCUCAGAGAACUCUGCUUCGCUUUUGGACAGGACAUAGAACAAGGAUGGCCCUAUGCUGAGUGCCAAAACGAGUUUCCCUUUAUCUGCUAUGAAGAAGACAACCUGGUGAUCAUAAAGGAGAACAAGACGUGGGAGGACGCCCUGAAACACUGCAGAGAAAUGAAUGCAUCAUGUGUUGACGAUAAGGGGCACCAGACGCACUGCUACAACCUGCUGAGCCUGCCAGAUCCGUCUGACUACGACUUUGUCAUGGACAAGCUCUACAGAGCCACCACUGAUGAGGUUUGGACAGGCCUCCGCUUCCUGGGAGGAGAGUGGUGGUGGUUAAAUGGAGAGACGGUAGGAGACCAUGAGAUGCUGCCAGAGUGUCCAUCCCAGUGGAAGCACUGUGGGAGCAUUUCCAAAUAUGUCUCAAACCGCUCCGUGAUCAGGGACUGUUCAGAAAGACGAAAUUUCAUGUGUGAGCAUAAAAAAAAAGCCGUAAAUGGUGACAAUGAUGGGAU